UUUUCAUAUACCUGUUGGCCAUUUAUAUGUCUUCUUUUGAGAAAUGUCUCUUCAAGUUCUUAGCCCAGUUUUAAAUCAGAUUAUUAUAUAUUUUUUC